CGGAAUAGCUCAGAUGGUAGAGCAACUGACUUGUAAUCAGUAGGUCACGGGUUCGACUCCUGUUUCCGGC
rnacentral:tRNA from 1 species